ACGGGCAGGGCAGUGCACCCUGCAGGUGAGAGCGGGAACACCUGCAUCACAGCCUUUGGCCCUAG
ensembl:miRNA MIR7112 microRNA 7112